CAGAACUUGUGAAAAAUAAAAUGUGUUUGGGUUUAAGCAUGGAAAGAGAGAGGGGGAGAUCCAGAGAGAUGUUACAACAACUUGCUUCCAAUAUUGACUUUUUUAAAAAAACACCCCUAACUCUCUCAUACAAAGAAGGGCAAAUCAGAACUCUUUUUUAAUGCUAAAAGUUGCACUCUUUCUUUCUGGCUGUUGGACAUGCCAAUAUGUAAACAUUUCAGGGAGAAUUUUACACCACCUCAUCUUUAUGUCAAGCAGCAUUUAAUGGUUGAAUGAUCCCGUGCCCCGGGUCUUGGCAGCUAUCCUCUGGGGUCCA